GCCAGAGGUCUCUACCAGCAAAGAGGAUAAAAGAGACUACACCUGGACAAACCCUCCCAGGCCCAGGCCUGAGCCUCACAUGUGGCCCCGGGGAAGGCAUCAGGGACUCCCUUUGCCCUCCCACUGACCUCCCUGCAAACCUCCCCCAAACCAAGGGGCAUCCUCAGCUGGCCAGACCCUGGGGGAAGGGAGAGAGCCGAGGAUCACCGGCACCUGUGGCUGGGUUACCCCUGCCAUGGACCACUGGGUGAUCAAGAAGUCAUUCCAAAAUGUGAAGCGUUCUGAAGAUAUGCACAUAGCGUAAGAACCUGGUGUAAUGUGCUGGUCAAGGCGGUCUCAGAGAGGAGAUGACGUUUGAGCUGACACCUGAGGGAUGAGAAGAAAGCAGCCAUUCCCAGGGCCCAGGGGAGGCAUCCCAGGAAGCCGGAUCAGCAUGAGCAAAAGCCCUGAGGCCUGGCACAAGUUGGUCUGCUUGAGAAGCAGGAGAGAGCCCUGAGCAUCCGGAGUGCAGCAAGCGAGAUGAGCAAGUCAAGAUGCAGAAGGACUCUCUGGCUUGUCCAAGGUCACACGGCUGUUAGGAGCAGAGCAGCGUCCUGGUGCCCAAGCCCUGAGGUCCCCAGCACACUGCCUCUGCAAUGGCCACAACUGUCCAAAGACUAAGCUGACUCUCACACCUGGUAGUGUCUGUGGUCAUUCACUGUGGAUGGAAGUGGAGAAAUGCAGAAAACAGAAACACAGCUUCCCCUUUUCUGUCAUAUUUCUGUAUCGUUGGUGUUUGGAGCCAGUUGAGCACAAAGGGCCCCUGAGUGCUGUUUCCUUGUGAUAUUUGGGGGUUAACAGCUUCCCCUCAUCUCUUAAUUACCUGCCCUCCUUCACUUCAGCUGCACAUUCGUUAAAGAAUGCUCUCCCAGGAGAAGAGCUUGGUGUUAUCACCCACAAACAUCUUAGAAAACUAAUGCUAUCCUUGAGUGCCUGUUUACAGAAACAUUUUUACAUCUCACUUGACAUUUCCAGCAAAUCUUGAUCCUUCCAGCCAGGAAUAUUAAUAUAUAGGUCUUGAAAAGUGCAAGAGGCUCUUCCAUGGCUCCAAGCACAUUUGACACUCUUCCUUUUCUGAUCCCCAAGCAGACAGUGAUGAAACCCCAAUAGCUGGGCGAAUACUCAUCCAACAGGAAGAAUCAGUUUUAAGAGCUGGGUUCUCAGGGUCAAAUACUGUGGUGUGGCCUUUUGGUUGUAAUGAGUUGAAUGGAGGUCUCAAAAAAGAUAUAUCCAUGUUCUAAUCCCCAGAACUUGUGAAUGUGACCUUAUUUGGAAAAAGAGUCCUUUUGGAUGUAAUUAAGUUAAGGAUUUUGAGAUAAGGAGAUCAUCCUGGGUUAUCUGGGUGGACCCUAAAUCUGUUGACAAUGUCCUUAUGAGAGACCCCAGAGGGCACAGACAGGAAAGGAAGAGGCAAUGUGGCCCCAGAGGCUGAGAUCAGAGCUCUGUGGCCACAAUUCGAGGAACACCUGGAGCCACCAGAAGCUGGAGGAGGCAAGGAACAGAUUCUCCCUGAUCCUCUGGAUACAGAGGGAGAAUAGCCUGGCCGACACCUUGAUUUUGGACUUCUGGCCCCCAGAACUGAGAAAAUUAACUUCUGUUGUGUUAAGCAGCCACGUUUGUAGCAGUUCAUCAUAGCAGCCCUGGGAAAGAAAUACAGUGGGCUUCCAGUUCAAGGAGGAUCCACGAGGCCUGAGCUCCAUCUGUCGAUUGGAAUCACCAAAAUCAAGGUUGUGUGCGGGUAACGCCAGCACAAGCAGCUCAUGCUGGCAAAAGCAGACCAAACCGGCUCACGCAACGUCAAGUCAUCUUGAAGUGGUUCACGCACCACAGUGAGUGGUAUUGAUUGUGGUUAAGAGCCAGGUUCAAGGAGGUUUAUCACUCAGUAGCCAGGUAAAGCAGGUUCCAGGCCUGGCUCCACCACUCAACAACCGGGGAAACAGGGGUAAGCUUCUUAAAUGCUCCGUGUCUCAGUUUCUCCAUGUGUAAAAUGAGGGCACUAAUAACAGUCCCUACCUGCAAGGUGGUUGUGAAGAUGAUAUGAAUUCAUAUAUGUAAGGCACUUGGAAUUGACAAUACUGACAUACCACAAAUACAAAAUAAGUGUCUGCCAUUAUUAAGCUAACCCAAAUCAAAACAGACACAGAUGAAUUCAGAAUACUCAAGUAGACUCAGAUAUGUUCAAAUGGAGCCCACCAGUUAAAACUAGCUGAGACCAGUGUAAACUGGCUCAAGCCUUUUGGGCCAAGCUGUACUAAAACCAGAUUAAAUCAGUCAAAACAGGAUUAGAAUAGUCAGUCUGGAAUCUCUACACGCACGCCUGCACAUUUGAGGGGUCUCUCUCCGCCCCCUCUGUACAUCAGAUUGAAUAGUAACAAACAGUCCCACAUCUCCCAAGAAUGAGCAUAAUGGACAAGCAGAGGGCCGCCAAUGUCCCCACCAGAACGAGCAUAAUGGACAGGCAGGGGGCCGCCGAUGUCCCCACCUAAGACAUGCAGACAUUUCCCUGUCGGAAACGCGCUCAGAUUCUUUACGGCAGGUCAAGGCUCAAAUAUCAGAAACCAAUUUCACUCACACUAACUAAACAAGAGACGGGAUCUGUGGUUCAGGAUCCUGAGGCACUCGUGAAACUCAUGGGUAGGAAGGUCAGCUGGAGCCAGUUAGUGUCUGGAAGGCUAUCAGAGCUCAAGGCCCCUCUCUCUGGCCCAUGGAGGGGAAUUAACUCCCUCAAAGGCAGGAGCUCAGUGAGCAGGAGGCUGGUAGGGAGGUGGGAGCUGCAGGUGACCGGUUAGAAGUCAGAGGCUGUUGUGGGGGGCAGCUUGCACCAGUGGACACAAGAGCCCCAACUUGUGGGCACUUGGAAGUCCCAGGCUGUUCCCUGGCUCCACCCCGUCCUCUGGGGUGCCUGCUUCACAGAGCACCAAUAAUGCGUUUGUGUCACUCUAUGUUUCCUGGCAGGAGCAGACCUGCAGAGGGGCCAGAAGACACCUGGCCGGGUGGGGAGCAGCCCCUCCGUAAUAACAAUCGGAACCUGGGAAGAUAAGUAGAGUCCCAGGGGAGGGACAGAGUUUCCCCUGUGUCACCACAUGGCUACUUUGACACAAAUGCACGUGGGCAGAGAGAGGCAUGCAGGUCAAGGGCCUGGCAGGGAGUCAGGGGCCCUCAGUGCCAGUCCUGGCUCUGCCUCUGCCUCUGACACGCCAUGUGACCUUGAGCAAGUCACCACCCUGUCUGGGCUUCGCUAACCCAUAUACGGAAUGAGAAGGUAUCGUCCCUGGUCACUGCAGGUUUUAAAUCAUGUAGUGAGAGAGAGCUCAUUUGGUCCAACUCUCUGCAACUGAAGGAAUGGAGACACCAAGGGGGAGUAAUCGGCCGCAGUGAUGAGUGGGUGGCAAAGGGAGCUAUCACUACCAUUGAUUAUCCAGCUACUUGUGCUUGAUAAACUCCCUCCUGGUGGAAUGGGCUUUCCCACAUCCAGCAGCACAAAUGCUGUGAGCAUCUACUACGGGCUGGGCACCUUCUCUGGGCUGGCACUUGACAUGGGUUAUCUCAUUUAACUCCCUAACAACCCUAUGUGGUAUUAUCAUCCCCAUUUCACAGGCGGCAAAACUGAAUCCCAGAGAGAAGACUCACUCAGACACAGCUAUCUGAACACUCUUUUCCAGUUCCCCUAGGGCAGCAGAGGAAGCAAGGUGGGGGGAAGCCAGUGGUCAAGGAUUCCAUGCGGAAUGUACCCUAGAAUUAACCCAUGGAGAGAGGGUAAGGGAACGGGCUCAGGCCUGGGAAGAAGUGGGGAGGACAGUGUCCUGUUGACCUAUUCAAAAACAUCCAGUUUUAGUUAAUUUUUAGUUCAUUAGUCACCACUUUUUAUUAGUAUCUCAUGUAUUCUUUCACAGUUUCUUUCUGCAGGUACAAAAAUAAUGAUUUUUUUUCUUUCUUUUUCUUCUUUGAGACAGGGUCUCGCUCUGUUGCCCAGGCUGUAGUACAAUGGUGCAAUCUCGGCUCACUGCAACCUCUGCCUCUGGGUUCAAGCGAUCCUUUGCCUCCGCCUCCUGAGUAGCUGGAAUUACAGGCAUGCACCAUGAUGCUUGGUUAAUUUUUGUAUUUUUAGUAGAGUCAGGGUUUUGCUAUGUUGGCCAGGCUGGGCUCCAACUUCUGGUCUCAAGUGAUCCACCCGCCUCGGGCUCCCAAAGUGCCAGGAUUACAGGCGUGAGCCACUAUGCCUGGCCAAAAGUGGCGAUGUGUUCUUAAUGCCCAUUUUCACAUAAAAGGUAAU
rnacentral:lncRNA from 1 species